ensembl:lncRNA
ACCUGUCUAUCACAGAUUAUUUCAGCUUUCUAUAGAUACCCACACUGUGCCAAUACUCUGGAAAAAAUCUGUAAUUAUUCCGGUUCCUAAAACAAUCAGCCCUCAGGAGAAUAAUGAUUAUAGACCGGUGACACUUACUUCAAAUGUUUUUAAAUCAUUUGAAAGAUUGAUACUUGAAAAGCUUCGAAUACAGGUAGAACCGCUAAUUGAUAAAUUCCAGUUUGCUUAUACAAAAAAACGAAGCACAAGUGAUGCCAUAGCAACAUUAAUGCAUUUUAUUCUUAAGCAUAUUGAGUGUCCAACUGCAUAUGUUCGACUACUGUUUAUUGAUUUUAGUUCAGCCUUUAAUUUAAUACAGCCACAUUUGCUUCUCAGUAAGUUAGUCCAUGCGAAUGUAAAUCCAUUCUUAAUUAAGUGGUAUUACUCUUUUCUGUCAAAUAGGCCACAACAAGUUCAAUUUAACUCUGCUCUGUCUGAUAUAACAGUCUGUAGUACGGGUGCCCCCCAGGGGAGUGUUAGUUCACCUUUCCUUUUUACUUUCUAUACUAAUGAUUGUGUUAGUAUGGACACAAACCAGCACUUGAUAAAAUUUUCUGAUGACACAGUUUUACUUAGUCUGUUAACAAAAACCUCUAACCCAAACACUUAUCGUAUAGCUGUAGAAAAUCUUGUGGCCUGGUGCGAGGUACAUAAACUCAAGAUUAACACAAAUAAGACUGUGGAAAUGCUGGUGGACCCUCGAACAGUUGGAAACUCUGACCCUGUGUCCAUUCAUGGUCAAACCAUUGAGCAAGUGAGCUCAUUUAAAUAUCUUGGAGUUUAUAUAGACUGUGAUCUGAGUUGGAAAACACAGGUGACCAAGGUGUGCUCUAGGAUCCAUCAGCGCCUUCACUUUCUGCGCAGACUCAAAUUAUUUGGUGUCUGUAAAAACAUCAUGUUAAUAUUCUACAGAGCUGCUAUUGAAUCAAUUUUAAGAUAUGGUAUUACAAGUUGGUUUGGCAGUUUAACAGUUAAAUCAAAGACACAAUUAAAUAGCCUAGUUAAGAUAGCAGGGAAAAUAAUGGGCAUUCCUGCCCCUCUUGGCCCUCAGGAGCUGUGGCAGCAGUCUAUAAUUAGGCAGGUUAGGAAUAUUGUAUCUGAUAGUACACAUGCGCUCUAUCAGGAGUACCAGCUCAUGAAUUCAGGCAGGAGAUAUAGGGUUCCCUUGUGCAGGCAUAAUAGGUUUAAACAUUCUUUUGUUCCAAUGUCAAUUAAAAUCCUAAAUAAUAAUGACAUCUGAC